AUUGAACGCUGGCGGCAGGCCUAACACAUGCAAGUCGAACGGUAACACGAGACUCCUUCUUGUUUCGCUGUCGAGAGGCGCUCGGGUGACACAUGUCUGUGACAUUCCCUGAUGAAGGGGGUUAACUACUGGAAACGGUACCUACAACCGCAUAUCGUCUCAACACCAAGGAUGGGGACACCCGGUCCUCUUGCCUUCGGCUGUGUCCAGAUGGCACUAGCUUGUUGGUGGGGCAACGGCUCACCAAGUCGACGAUCCCUAGCUGGUCUGAGAGCAUGAUCGCACACACUGGAACUGAGACACGGUCCAGACUCCUACGGGAGGCAGCAGUGGGGAAUAUUCCGCAAUGGGAGAAAGCCUGAUGCAGCCAUGCCGCGUGAGUGAAGAAGGCCUUCGGGUUGUAAAGUCCUUUGAGCGGGGAAGAAGGGAGUUGAAAGAAUACAUUGCCUCAUUGACGGUACCCACAGAACAAGCCCCGGCUAACUCCGUG
rnacentral:rRNA from 1 species